UGGUCUCCUGCAGAACUGCUGGCCC
rnacentral:piRNA from 1 species